rnacentral:rRNA from 1 species
AUUGAACGCUGGCGGCAGGCCUAACACAUGCAAGUCGAGCGGAUGAAGGGAGCUUGCUCCUGGAUUCAGCGGCGGACGGGUGAGUAAUGCCUAGGAAUCUGCCUGGUAGUGGGGGAUAACGUCCGGAAACGGGCGCUAAUACCGCAUACGUCCUGAGGGAGAAAGUGGGGGAUCUUCGGACCUCACGCUAUCAGAUGAGCCUAGGUCGGAUUAGCUAGUUGGUGGGGUAAAGGCCUACCAAGGCGACGAUCCGUAACUGGUCUGAGAGGAUGAUCAGUCACACUGGAACUGAGACACGGUCCAGACUCCUACGGGAGGCAGCAGUGGGGAAUAUUGGACAAUGGGCGAAAGCUUGAUCCAGCCAUGCCGCGUGUGCGAAGAAGGUCUUCGGAUUGUAAAGCACUUUAAGUUGGGAGGAAGGGCAGUAAGUUAAUACCUUGCUGUUUUGACGUUACCAACAGAAUAAGCACCGGCUAACUUCGUG